rnacentral:lncRNA from 1 species
UUUUAAAAUUUUUAAAGAAGUUAGGCCACAUUUUUAGCUUUCCAAGAAGCUAUAGCAUGCAAGAAAUGGAGCUAUAACGAGGGAGAUACAUGAAUUUUUUUAAAAGAGGGAGUCACUAGAGUUUUCAAGCUAUGAGAUUUAAGAUUGGUUAAGGAUUUCUAUGCCAUUUCUUAUAUUUUUUUCUUCUUAUUCUAAGAAUUUGUAAAAAAUUGGAUCUUAUUAUUAGCUUUCCAACAAGCUAUUUCAUGUAAGAAGAAGAGCUAUGAUGAGAGAAAUAUACAUGAAUUUUUAGGAAGG